GAAAACCAUGAAAAUCAGAACUUGAUUGUGGAAAAAGUUGGCCUUUCCCAGGACAGAGAUGGGGUACUAGACAUAGACGAGUAUGAGCUCCCUGGGGACAAGGAUGAACUCUGUCAGCUGAAAAAUACAAUGGUGAUGGAGCUGAUGUGGGUACAACAAGCCAUCAACAGCCGCAAACAUUAUCUACGGAUGAAGCAUGAGUUGAUGUAGACAACUUGUUGUGACCCAGAUGAAUGUGAAAUGGCAAGAGCUCACAAGUUAUCAAAAUUAUCUAUUUUUGUACAUUUGUAUAAAUAAUUAUUAAUAAAAUUUUAUGUACAUAAUUAAUACUAAUAAAUUGAUUUAAUGUUUGUGAUAAU